rnacentral:rRNA from 1 species
UACGUACUGUGCGAACGUUAUUCGGAAUCACUGGGCUUAAAGGGUGCGUAGGCGGUCAUUUAAGUAGGGUGUGAAAUCCCCCCGGCUCAACCGGGGAAUGCGCUCUAAACUGGAUGGCUUGAGUAAGAUAGGGGUGUGCGGAACUUCCGGUGGAGCGGUGAAAUGUGUUGAUAUCGGAAGGAACACCAGUAGCGAAAGCGGCACACUGGGUCUUAACUGACGCUGAGGCACGAAAGCUAGGGUAGCGAAC